AAGGCGAAGCUCCUGAUCGAAGCCCCAGUAAACGGCGGCCGUAACUAUAACGGUCCUAAGGUAGCGAAAUUCCUUGUCGGGUAAGUUCCGACCUGCACGAAUGGCGUAAUGAUGGCCAGGCUGUCUCCUCCCGAGACUCAGUGAAAUUGAACUCGCUGUGAAGAUGCAGUGUACCCGCGGCAAGACGGAAAGACCCCGUGAACCUUUACUAUAGCUUGACACUGAACAUUGAGCCUUGAUGUGUAGGAUAGGGGGGAGGCUUUGAAGUGUGGACGCCAGUCUGCAUGGAGCCAACCUUGAAAUACCACCCUUUAACGUUUGAUGUUCUAACCUAGGCCCAUAAACUGGGUCGGGGACCGUGUCUGGUGGGUAGUUUGACUGGGGCGGUCUCCUCCUAAAGAGUAACGGAGGAGCACGAAGGUUGGCUAAGCAUGGUCGGACAUCAUGCGGUUAGUG
rnacentral:rRNA from 1 species